AGGGCGGGUAAGGACCGAGCAGGCCUGCGGAAGCCUCUGAGCCAGCGCGGGGACUCUCAGCUGACCCAGGCCGCACCCACGCUUGAGGCCCGAGUCAGAUCCUCCUCACCUGGGCGCUGUGCUGAGGCGAAGGUCUCCCAGUGCCUGCUGUCCUGAGGCCCGCAGACGCUUCCCCAGGACGGGAGCCGGAGGAGCCUCUCCACGGCCCGGAAGACAAGAAAGAGGGACCCCAGGCCAGCAGAGUUGGGGUGCGGGGCAGCAACGGCUGGGGCAGGUGAAGCGCAGGUGGCCCUAGACCCGAGCCCUGCCCCUCCGCCCCGGGACACGGCUGGCUUUUCUCGGCGCUGCCUCCACGGGCCCUGCAUCCCAGCCCGGCCAGGGGACGCCCCCUUUGCGCCUGCUGCAAAGUGGAAAUUCCUUUCCCAACAAUUCCAGUCACACAGCGUUAGGGGCCACGAGGUCAGACCACCUGGGAGUUCGGGCUGCUGGGGCCCACAGGGCAGCCUCCUGGGACAGGGUCCAGACCAUGCCCGCCUUCUGGAACAGGCGUUGACAAUUGUGCUGGGAUUCCCACUGGGGGUGAGGAUCUGGCGUCACAGGCCCAGCAAAGGCGUCUUUUUUCUAGCUCAGGACCCCAAAGGGAGGGGUGGGAGCCCUGGGUAGCAGCAUCGCUGCCUCCCAGCCUCAUAGCCCAGCCUGGUGGGGCCCAGCAAACAAGUCUCCGGGUGUGGCUGGUGCGGAGCUCCAGGCCUCAGGCCCUGUUUUCCCACGCUGACCCCAGGCCUUUCUUCUACCCUGAAAGCCCAGAGGAGAGAGAGGCACGCACAGUGCACAUCAUGCCUGAAAAGGGAAGAACAAAGGCAGCCCAGAGGCAGGGGCUGUGCCCCCCACUGCCCUGCCGGUGCCCCUGGCACCCCCAUGCCCUGCCAGGCCCAGCGGGGCUUCCUGGUGUUCUGGACUGUCUUUCAUGGACAAAAAGCCCAGGCCAGGGAGCAGGAGCCCUGCCAGGCCCGAGAGGAUGGGGAGGGAGAGGGAGGCCUGGACUCUGCCCUGGGGACACAGGCUCAUGGCUGAGUGCCCAGCUUUGCCUGCGGAGUGAGAGAGGCAGGGAGCCCAGAGGGGCCAGGACAGAGGAAGAGGUUGAGUUCUCUCAGAGUGAGGGUGGGGGAACACCCUUUCCUGGCAUGGACUCGGAGCCUCUGGAAGGCGGACCUGGGGUAGCGUCAGAUAGAAGCUGGCAGGAGCAAAAGGGGUGGAGGGGGCUCUGGGUGGGGCAGCCCCCAGCCUCUGGGACCCUCUCAGGGGUGGGGGCUCCAGAUGUCCUGCACAUGGCCUGGCCCAGGAUGCGCUGGAAAAAUGUGGACGCAGAGAGGUUUGGGGGGAACCUCCAGGAGGGUCCUCAGAGCCUCCCUCCCACACAGGACUCAGACCUCCCAGGGCCUUCACCGAGGCCUGCUGAGAUCUUGGCUGCCUUGCUUGCCUCAGUCUCCCCAUCAGAAGCUUGUGCUGUGUGGCUUGUGCCUGUAAUCCUGGAUGGAAGCAGCACAGAUGUUUCCUUUGGGAGGCUGAAGCAAGGUCGGGAGUUCCAGACCAGCCUGGCAAACAUGGUGAAACCCCAUCUCUACAUAAAUACAAAAAUUAGCCAGGAGUGGUGACGAGCACCUGUAAUCCCAGCUACUCAGGAGGUGAGGCAGGAGAAUCCCUUGAACCCAGGAGAUGGAGGUUGCAGCAAGCCAGGAGGUCACUGCACUCCAGCCUGGGCGACAGAACGGGACUCCGUCUCAAAAGAAGCUUGCGCUGUGGCUGAAACACCUUAAUUGUGAAAGGCCUUUUACUCAUUGCUUCCUUUUUCACGUACUCAUUAAGUCAUUCAACAAACGCUUGCUGAGUACCGCCUGAGGGCCAAAAGCCAUAUCAGCCUCCACUGGCGUGGGGAGAGCAGACUUUGCAGAGGCCCCCGAGAGGCAGGGAAGCUCUUGCUGUCCCGUUGGAGGUGGGAGACACACAAAAUGGGCGGCAGGACCCUAUCAGUGGUAUCUGAGGUGCUGGAUGUGCUUUGCUUCUUUCAUCACAUUCCGAGUUUGGGAUUCACCCUGUAGACACUGAAAGGUGUGGCUUGUUUGUUUCGUGCUCUGUUCCAUCCUGUGAGUGAGAACAUGAGGAUGGCGUGUUGCUGCAGCUACUGAACGCAGUGUCUGCUUUCGGCUGUGCUGAGAUUGCUGCUCUGCACAUGUGCACUCUUUUUUUUAAAUGGAGUCUCUCUCGCCCAGGCUGGAGUUCAGUGGCACGAUCCCGGCUCACUGCAACCUCUGUCUCCUGGGUUCAAGUGAUUCUCCUGCCUCAGCCUUCCAAGUAGCUCAGAUUACAGGCAGAGAGGUUCAGGGAGAACCCCCGGGAGGGUCCUCAGAGCCUCAGCACAGCCCACAACCACACCUGACUAAUUUUGUAUUUUUAGUAGAGACAAGGUUUCACCAUGUUAGCCAGGCUGGUGUCAAACUCCUGACCUCAGGUGAUGCCUCAGCCUCCCAAAGUGCUGGGAUUUCAGGCGUGAGCCACGGCGCCCGGCCACACAUGUGCAGUCUUGUGAGCACUUCUCUGUCCCAGAACAGAGUUGCUGGUUGUAAUUCGAGUGUGUGUUCAGCUUCUCCAGCGAGUGCCAAGUUAUUUUCUGAAUGAUGGCUCCAGCUGCGCCGUGAGCGUGACGAUUUUGGCUGCUCCACAUCUUCAUCAGCAUCUGGUGUUGUGCAACGUUGGGAUUUCGGGGAAGCUGCUGAGGGCGAAACAGUGUCUCAUUGAGACUUUAAUAUGCGUUUCCCCUGUUCCCAAAGAGAGGGGGCGUCUCAUGGUGUCUCUGGCGAAGCCACGCUCCACGGCUCCUGUCCACUGGCUGGGGUUGCUUGCCUUGCUCCUGCUGACUUGCAGACGCCCUUGUGUCUUGAACCCGGUCCUGCGGCCGUUAAAUUGUGAAAGUUCUCCUUGCUCCUCUGGGGUUACGUCUGAGUAAUCUGCUAUGAGAUCAUCAAGAUACUCUCCCCUCAUGCUUCCUGAAGGCUUUCUGGUUUUGCUGAUCACAGCUUCGAUCCUCCUGGAGGUGGUGUUUAUGUGCAGGAUGUGAGGAAAGGCUCCGGCUCACCUUUUCCCAUGUGCAGAACCAGCUGUCCCAGCGCCACUUGUCACAUGGCCCCCUGUGCGGUGUCUACGCAGCCUCCCACCCCACCCGGGCCAGCUGCAGCACAGGGCUCUGUUUGGGGUCUCUCUUCAUUAGCUGAGCACCCUCCACCGCUCAGACCUCCUCUCCAGAGCCUUCCAGCAUGGCUUGACCUCCGGGAAGAGGGACGACGCCUUCAGUCCAUUCCUCCACGGGGCUGUUCUGUGUCCUUUGCUUGACCAUGGAAAUUUUAUUUAAUUUUUAUUUAUCUUUUGAGAUGGAUUCUCACUCUAUUGCCAAGGCUGGAGUGCAGUGGUGGGAUCUCGGCUCACUGCAACCUCUGCCUUCCAGAUUCAAGCAAUUCUCCUGCCUCAGCUUCCCAAGUAGCUGGGACUACAGGUGCACGCCACCACACCUGGUUAAUUUUUGUAUUUUUAGUAGAGAUGAUUUUGCCAUAUUAGUCAGGCUGUUCUUGAAAUCCUGACCUCACGUUAUCUACUCACCUGCCUCAGCCUCCCAAAGUGCCAGGAUUACAGGCAUGAGCCACGGUGCCAAGCCCCAUGGAAAUUUUAGAACCAGGUUCUCCCAUCUCCUUUAUUUUACUUUCUUUCUUUCUUUAUUUUGAGACAGACUCUUACUCUGUUGCCCAGGCUGGAGUGCAGUGGCGCAAUCUUGGCUCACUGCACCUCUGCCUCCUGGGUUCAAGUGAUUCUCCUGUCUCAGCCUCUUGAGUAGCUGGGACUACAGGCGUGAGCCACCACACUCAGCUAAUUUUUGUAUUUUUAGUAGAGACAGAGUUUCGGCAUGUUGGCCAGGCUGAUCUUGAACUCCUGACCUCAACGGAUCCACCUGCCUUGGCCUCCUGAAGUGCUGGGAUGAUAGGUGUGCCACCAAAACCAGCCUCCUGUCUCCUUUUAUUAGAGAUGGGGGCCUCACUAUGUUGCCCAGGCUGGUCUUGAAUUCCUAGCUUCAAGCAAUCCUCCAGCCUCAGCCUCCUGAGUAGCUGGGAACUGAUCCUUAUGGUUUAUUUGAAUAAACACUGAAAUUGAUCCUUCUAGUCUUAAGAUUUGAGAAAGUGACAUUUGUCCUAAUUGAGUUCCUUUCUCAGGAAACCAACCAUCAGUGCUCGAAGAUAGAACGGAAGAGCUAAAACUCACUCAUCACAGUAUCUGGACAAUGAGAAGCCAGGCCCCCCAUCCCUCCCACCCCCAUCAAGAUUGCCUGACCAACCACCAGCUUCCUGUUGACCAGCUCCUUCCCCAGCUGCCCUGAUUCCUGUUUUCUCACACCUGGUUACAUUGCUUCCCUGCUCUGUAAACCCCUCAUUUUAGUCAGUCAGGGAGAUGCAUUUGAGACUGAGUGUGCAUCUCCUCAUUUAAAAUGUUCUUUUAGAAUCAGCUUAACUUCUGCAGCACGUGUGGCCAUUUCCCUCUUUUUUAUUCCUGAUACCAAUUAUUUGUGCCUUAUCUCAUUUUCUUGAUUAAUUCUAACCAGAUGUUUUGUGUACUUUUUCUCAACCAAGUUUCUGUAAUGUUUGUUUCCUAUUUUACUAAAUUUACCUUUUUUUUUUAAAGAUGAGAUUUCACCAUGUUGGUCAGGCUGGUCUCCAACUCCUGACCUCAGGUGAUCCGCCCGCCUUGGCCUCCCAAAGUGCUGGGGUUACAGGUGUGCACCACCGUGCCCAGUUUUUUGUUUUGUUUUGAGAGAGACUCUUGCUCUGUCAUCCAGGCUGGACUACAGUGGCGUGAUCUCGGCUCACUGCAACCUCCACCUCCCAGGUUAAAGUAAUUCUCCUGCCUCAGCCUCCCAAGUAGCUGAGACUACAGGUGUGUGCCACCACGCCUGGCUUAGAGACAGGGUUUCACCUUGUUAGCCAGGAUGGUCUCAUCUCCUGACCUCAUUAUCCACCCACCUCGGCCUCCCAAAGUGCUGGGAUUAUGGGCGGCUCCCUCUUACCUUCAUCCAUAGCCCUCUGCCCCUCAUUCCCAUUUCCCAUCUCCUCUCUCUCUGCGCUAUGUUCUGGAUGAUAUUUCCUAAACUCUCUCUCUUUCUUCUUUCUUUCUUUCUUUCUUUCUUUCUUUCUCUUUCUUUCUUUCUUUCUUCUUUCUUUCUUUUUCUUUCUUUCUUUCUUUUUAAUAAAGAUGGGGUUUCAUCAUGAUGGCCAGGCUGGUCUUGAACUCCUGACCUGAGGUGAUCCACCCACCUCGGCUCCCAAAGUGCUAGGAUUACAGGCGUGAGCCACCGCGCCCAGCCUCCUAAACUCUUUCAAUUCUCUCUCUUUUUUUUUAAAAGAGAUGGGGUCUUGCUUUGUUACCCAGGCUGGCUGGAGUGCAGUGGCACAAUCAUAGCUCACUGCAGCCUCAACCUCCUGGGCUCACAUGAUGCCCCCCAGGGGCUGGGACCACAGAUUCACCAGUGUGGGGAGAAAGUCGCCCAGGUGCCAAGGCAAGAGACUGAAGGCACAGUCUAUCCCAGAAUCAUAAAUAACUGAUUGCUUACUUUUAGCAUUGAUGCCAAAUAUGUUUAGAAACAAUCAUAAUCAGUUACAUAAUCAAUCUUAUUAAACCAUUAUUAAUCUUUAGUAUUAUAGCAUAAAGACAUUCUAGUCUUAUGGUAUAGAAACAACCAGAUGAAAUAUAAUUAGGAACUGAAGGGACAUUGUGAGGAGUGAUCAGGAGACAAGAGUGAGAGCCUUGCAGUAGCGCCAGCACCUGGGGAGGUGCCCGUUACUUAGCAGGCAGGCCUUGGGGUAACGCCAGUGCCUGGGAAGGCACCCGUUACUUAGCAGUCACUUAGCAGGCCGUGAAGGGGAGUUUCCCUUUCACUGGGGGAGUUCAGAGAACACACUACUCUACUCCGCUCUUGAGGAAGGCCUGACACUAGACAGGCUGGCGCGGACAUCCAGGGGCUUAAACACCUCUCCGUGGUGCUAUGUUCUGAUGGUCACCAUCCUCAUCCACUUUCAGGUUUCGCUUUCCCACCUGGCUCUCCUUUUCAGUUCUUAGAAGUGGUAAGAAGUAAGAGCAGGAGAAUCCUAAAAGCCUUUAACCUAGCUGGGUGCGGUGGCUCACGCCUGUAAUCCCAGCACUUUGGGAGGCCGAGGCGGGGGGAUCAGGAGGUUAAAAGUUUGAGACCAUCCUGGUCAACAUGGUGAAACCCCGUCUCUACUAAAAAUACAAAAAAUUAGCUGGGCAUGGUGGUGCGUACCUGUAAUCCCAGCUACUCAGGAGGCUGAGGCAGGAGAGUUGUCUGAACCCAGGAGGCGGAGGUUGCGGUGAGCCGAGACUGCGCCAUUGCACUCCAGCCUGGGUAACAAGAGCGAAACUCCGUAUCAAAAAAAAAAAAAAAAAGCCUUUAACCUUUCUGAUAAGUGUGUAGAAAAAUGCUGACGUGUGUGCUGCUCUCUCAGGCAGCAGCUACCUGAGAGGGGCCCCUGUACUGUAAGCACGUGAUUUACAUGACCCUAUCAAUCACAUCAGAUGAGUCACUCUCCGGCCCUGCCCCCUGCCUUGUAUACAAUAAAUAUCCAGGCAUUGGGGCCACUGCUGGACUCAGCCUCUUGGUGGCAGUGGUCCCCCAGCCCAGCUGAA